rnacentral:misc_RNA from 1 species
UGGGCUUGACAUGUUGGUGACCGGUGUGUUUCCACACCGGUCACCAACAUGUCAAGCCCAGGUAAGGUUCUUCGCGUUGCGUCGAAUUAAACCACAUGCUCCGCUGCUUGUGCGGGUCCCCGUCAAUUCCUUUGAGUUUUAGCCUUGCGGCCGUACUCCCCAGGCGGGGCACUUAAUGCGUUAGCGUCGGCACGGGAGGAGUCGACACCUCCCACACCUAGUGCCCAUCGUUUACGGCGUGGACUAC